GAAAAAGGAAUCUGAAAUUAUAUUU
rnacentral:piRNA from 1 species